rnacentral:rRNA from 1 species
UACGUAGGGGGCAAGCGUUGUCCGGAGUUACUGGGCGUAAAGCGCACGCAGGCGGUCUGCUAAGUUUGGAGUGACAGUUGGUGGCUUAACUGCCAAAGUGCUUCGAAAACUGACAGACUUGAGGGCUUCAGAGGGACACGGAAUCCGGGUGGAGUGGUGAAAUGCGUAGAGAUCCGGAGGAACACCAAAGGCGAAGGCAGUGUCCUGGGGAGUACCUGACGCUCAGGUGCGAAAGCCAGGGGAGCGAACGGGG